UUCACCAAAAGAGAAUAAGAUCUUCUCCUUGUUCGUUGUAUUAAGCUGACUUGGAACGCUUCUACAAACGGUAGAAUGUUUGGUCGAUGCGCAUUUACAAAAAAUAGCCUAAAAAAUCUUUAUUGCCCUCUUGCUUCACUAGCCUGUGCAUCCGUGUUGAUUUCUACCUCAAGACUGAUCUUCGAACGCUACG